rnacentral:rRNA from 1 species
GACUCCCUUAGUAAUGGCGAAUGAACCGGGAUAAGUACAAAUUUAAAAUCAUUUGCAAAAAUGAAUUGUAGUUUAAGAAUGUUUAAUUAAAGAUUCUGAAUGUAUUAAUUUAGUUGGAAAGCUAAAACAUAGAGGGUUAUAUUCCCGUAUACAUACAAGAAGGGGUUGAUAAUUAUUCAUUAAAGAGUCAGAUUGUUUGGGAUUACAGUCUAAAUAUGGAGGUAAAUUUCUUCAAAUACUAAGUAUAUAAAGGAGACCGAUAGCGAACAAGUACCGUAAGGGAAAGAUGAAAUAGAACCUUGUAAAGGGGUUUAAAAAGAAAGUGAAAUCGUUAAGAGGGAAACAUUUAAAACUUGAAUUAAAUGUAAUAACUUUAGUGCUCGCACUAUGUGUUUUUUCAUUUUAAAUAUCAAUGGUUAUUGUUUUUACUUAAAAAUGGAUUUAAUAACAAGGUUUUUAUCAAAGUAUAAAAACUUAAAAAUUAGAUUUUAUUAAGUGAUUAUGAUAUUACAAUCAUUUUUGACCUUCAUAGGUUUUUUAUUAGACAAUAAUCUUUUUAAGAUUAGUGUUUAAAUAGAAUUUCUACAGGUUCUAUGGUAUAAACAUUGAUAAUAGAGUUUUAAAUGACCCGUCUUGAAACACGGACCAAGGAGUCUAACAUAUCGGCGAGUACUAUAUUUUUAAAAUAUAAUGCGAAAUGAAAGUAAAUUCAAGGUAGGAAUUUUUAAUUAAAUGCACUAUCGACCGAUUUCAUCAGGAUUCUUCCUAGAAAUUUGAGUUAGAGCAGACAUGUUGGGACCCGAAAGAUGGUGAACUAUGCUUGAAUAGGGUGAAGCCAGAGGAAACUCUGGUGGAAGCUCGUAGCGAUUCUGACGUGCAAAUCGAUCGUAAAAUUUGGGUAUAGGGGCGAAAGACUAAU